ACCCCUAACGCAUGCAUUCUGUCUUGUUUUUAUUUCUUUCACUUUUAUUUAAUUUAUUUUUCACCUUAUUUAUUUCCAAAUUCAUUUUAUUUUUUAUCUCACUUAUUUUUAUUAUUCUGAAAAUAUUUCCAACAGGGAUCCUUGUUAUUUUUAUCUCUUCUAUUUAUUUAUGCUUUGUUUCAUGUAAUUUGAACAAUGUUUCAUGGACUUAUGAGGUCUUGAACCUAGUGCCUUGUCCAUAUUAUACACUAACCCUUACUAUUUUGAUCAUAUUGUACAUUGAUCUUUAUAACUUGCCUAACUUAAU
rnacentral:lncRNA from 1 species